rnacentral:rRNA from 1 species
GUUGACAACGCCUCACAUAACGUGUCGC